CGGAACAAUUUGUGGGGUUCUUUGCUUCUCUUCCUACAACGAUAAAUAAACUUGUAAUUUUUUUUCAACUGAUAUUUCUUGUUUUUGGGAUUAUAGUUACAUUUGUAAUGUUCAAACAAUAACUCAAGUUAUAAUUAGUAUUCAAAAGAUCUUAUUUUUUUAUUUUGUUUGCAGCCCAGAGAUGAAGCUAGUGGAUCCCUAUCACCCAUAGGUGCAAGAAGAUCAUCUGAUGGCAGUAAUCCAAGUGACAACAAUUGAAGUUCUUUAUCAGUGAAUUAGAUAAUUAAUUACGACAAUGUAAUUAUGUGAUUGGAGCGGAUGUUAGAAUGGAUAGG
rnacentral:lncRNA from 1 species